rnacentral:rRNA from 1 species
GACGAACGCUGGCGGCGUGCUUAACACAUGCAAGUCGAACGGAAAGCCCUGCCUUUGUGGGGUGCUCGAGUGGCGAACGGGUGAGUAACCCGUGAGUAACCUGCCCUUGACUUUGGGAUAACCUCAGGAAACUGGGGCUAAUACCGGAUAGGAGCUCCUGCUGCAUGGUGGGGGUUGGAAAGUUUCGGCGGUUGGGGAUGGACUCGCGGCUUAUCAGCUUGUUGGUGGGGUAGUGGCUUACCAAGGCUUUGACGGGUAGCCGGCCUGAGAGGGUGACCGGCCACAUUGGGACUGAGAUACGGCCCAGACUCCUACGGGAGGCAGCAGUGGGGAAUAUUGCACAAUGGGCGGAAGCCUGAUGCAGCAACGCCGCGUGCGGGAUGACGGCCUUCGGGUUGUAAACCGCUUUCGCCUGUGACGAAGCGUGAGUGACGGUAAUGGGUAAAGAAGCACCGGCUAACUACGUG